CCUCAGUUGUGGUUCCCAGCAAGAUAGCAUGAGACUCUUAAUCUCAUGGUUGUGGGUUCGAACCACACAUUGGGGG